AAGUCGACUUACUUAGGUUAUAAAAGUGAUCGAAGAAGAUUAUUGAAGAAUAAAAGUGACAGAUAUCUACCAAAAGUUGGUGAGAAAUUACCAGAAUCAGUUGAUUGGAGGGAAAAAGGUGCUCUUGUUGAUAUUAAGAAUCAAGGAAGCUGUGGUAAGUUGAUUUAGCUUCUAUUUCCGUUCACUUUGAGUUUUGCAUCUUCUUAAUAAAUAAUAGUCUCUUCUUUUAAUUUAUAUAAGUUAGUUUAAUUCAUUGCGGAAUUUAAGAAAGAAAUUUUUAAAAAUUUGUAGUAUAAAAUAAGUUACGGAUAUUUGCGUGACCAUAAAUUAUUUUAUGGAGUGUAAAAUAAAUAUUUUAAAACUAAAAUAAUACUGAAGGUAAAAUGUAAGUAUUAUUCAAAGCGAGUUAUAUAAAUUAGGACAUAGAAAAUAGUAAGUACUUACUAUGAGUAUUUUACUGUAAAGUAAAGAUCGUAUUCGUUGAUUUAUAAUCUUAAAUUUUGAGAAAUGAUUUAGAAAAUAAGUUAGUAAUAAUAUUGAAGGUAAAAUUUUAAAAAUUAGUUAUUUUUUUGAUACGUUAAAAGUGAUAAAGUAGGAGUGAAAAUCUAUUCUUUUUUAGAAUAUUGUACGGCUAAAAGUGAAUCGAGUGUGUAUAUAUAGAUGAGCCUAAGAAAUAUAUAUAUAUAUCUCAUAUACGGAGCUAUAUGUAUUUCAAGGGUUAUCCGAACCCUCUCCGACGAAAAAUUAUACUAUUUUUAUAUGAUUGUAUAUAUUAUUUAUGCAUAUAUACUAGAGGUUAAUAUGGUGAUGUAUAUGGUGUCUAACUAAGACCGUUUUGGAUAGAUACUCAACUCAAGAACAAUAUGUCAAAAAAUAAAUAUGUAUAUAAAAUAAAAUAGGAUAAAACAAGUUAACCUAUUUGUAAUUUUAAAAUAAAAAGAUUAACUGUUAUUUACCUACAAGUUAUAACAAAUAAAAUAAAUACGAUUAGAUAGUAUAUUCUUUUAAUUGUAUAGUAUGUUUUAACUUAAUUGUGUUAUAGAGAACUAGUUGUUUUUCAUUACCAUAAUUAAUUUUGAUGACGUGAAAGAAUUAUUUCACUAGGCCACAAAAAAUAUGAAAGAUAGUUCAUAAUAAGUUCAGUUAUAAUGGUAUACUUUAGAAAAUGGGAAAGGGUUAAAUUUAUUCUUCAUAAAUUUAAUAGCUAAGUUUAUCCUCCGUCAUCCUAUGUGGUCAUAUUUAUCGUUAGUAAAGUAUUCACUUGUUCCCCUAAUUUAAUGGAAUGAUCCAAAUUACAAUAAAUUAUUCAUUUUUAACAUAAAACCCAUUUCCUAUUCUAAUUAACCCGCCGACCCAAAUUAACCAAAAUGGACCCAAGAGAAGAGAGGUUUUCUUCUUGUUCAAAACUUGAGAGAACAUCACAAAUUUGGGAUUGUAGCAGAGUUGAUGAACUCAAAGAAGACGUACACAUCUCAGUCUUCUGCUUCAAUUCACCCACUUCAUCAUCUAAUUUCUGUAUUUCUGCUUGCAUCUUUGCUUCUUCUUCUCUCUGUCUCAAAGAAUCUCUAGCUAUCACAAAAGCCUGGUAUGGAUUGGUUACCAUGCCUGGAUCUUCAUUUUCUUUCAGAUCCGUCUUUGAUCUUUUACAAGCUGUCACAACAGCAAAACCAAAGAAACGAGUAGCAUCAAUCAACUAGUUUCACAAGACAUUGAAAGCAAGAAACAGGUUAGGGUUUUCGAUUUUUUGGAAACUAACCAACAAUAGGAGUGCUUGAUCUUGGUCUCCGAUUUAUAUCCAAUGAUUUCAGAGCUGAGGAAGAAUCAAAAGUUUUUUCUUUCGACUCAACAAGAUGAGGAAACACAUGUGAUUCAACAGUUUGUGAUGCAUUCAGUUCUUCACAUUCACCGUCAGAAAACAACCAGGAAAAUGCUCUACGCCUGGUUUUGAACAACAUUGAAGAAAACCUCUCUUCUCCCUGGGUCCAUUUGAUUAAUUUGGGUCGGGCGGGUUAAUUAGAAUAGGAAAUGGGUUUUAUUGUUAAAAAUGGAUAAUUUAUCGUAAUUUGGAUCAUUCCAUUAAAUUAAGGGGCACAAGUGAAUGCUUUGCUAACAGUUAGGGCAAAUAUGACCCCAUCGUAUGACGGAGGGUAAACUUAGCUAUUAAACUUAAGUAGAGGGAUAAAUUUAACCCUUUUUCCUUAAAAAAUAUUUACAUAAAAAUCGACUUAAAUAAGUAAAUUGAAUUAUUUGAUAAUUAGUUAAGUUUUUAAGAUUACCUAUCACUUCAUUCAACAAUUCCAGUUUACAAAUCGUGUUUGGGGUUAGGGGCUAGCGGUAGUAAGGUUAGGCGGGAUAAGGGAGCUUCUAGGUUGCGAGUUGGGUCUUGAAACAUUGGUACUUUGCAGGGUAAGUUUAUAGAGCUGGUGAAGAUUCUUAGAAAGAGGAGGUUUAGUGUAGUAUGUGUCCAGGAAACUAUAUGGGUAGGCACUAAAGCGAGAGAUGUGGAUGGAUAUAAGUUGUGGUACUCGGGUAGCGUGAGAUAUAGAAAUGGGAUAGGUAUCUUGGUAGAUGAAGAUCUUAGGGAGCAGGUGGUAGAGGUAAAUAGAGUUAGUGAUAGACUGAUUUCUAUUAAGUUGGUCAUGGGAGGGUCUACGGUGAACGUUAUUAGUGCCUACACCCCACAAGUAGGUUUGGACGAAGAGGAGAAGAAGGAAUUUUGGGAGGUUUUAGAUGAGGUGAUGAGGAGCAGCGGUUCAAUGGACAUAUUGGGUCUUUGUCGAGAGGGUACGAUAAUGUGCAUGGUGGUUUCGGUUUUGGUGAGCGGAAUGAAGGAGAAACUUCUCUGUUGGAUUUUUCUAAGGCUUUUGGGUUGUGGAUAGCAAAUUCGAGCUUUCCGAAGAAGGAGGAUUACCUUAUUACGUUUCGUAGUUCAGUGGCCAAGAUUCAAGACUCAGAUAGACUUUUUGCUUCUUAGAAAAGGGGAUAGAACGCUAUGUUAAGGCUGUAAAGUCAUACCUAGCGAGAAUCUCUCGUCUCAACAUAGGUUGUUGGUAAUGGACUCGGUUAUCAAUAAGGGCAAAAAGAAGAGAAGUAGGGAGGCAUGAUUUAGGAUUAAGUGGGGUAGCUUGACUUUGGUUAGUGCUUUGGAGAUGGAAGAGAAGUUAAAGAGUAGGGGGCCGUGGGAGAGUAGAUGGGGUGUGGAUAAUAUGUGGGAGACGACGGUCAGUUGCAUUAGGGAGACCGCUAUAGAGGUGUUGGGUGUCUCGAGAGGUCGAUCUGGCAAACGUCGAGGAGAAUGGUGGUGAAACAAAGAGGUCAAGAGAAAGGUGGAGUUUAAGAAAGUGGCUUAUGCUAAGUUGGUUGAGAGCAAGGAUGAUGAGGAUAGACAGAAGAAUAAGGAGGAGUAUAAGGUAGCUAGAAGAGAGGCUAAGUUAGCGGUUACAACGGCUAAAACAACAGCUUUUAAGAGUUUGUAUGUGGCUUUAGAGGAGAAAGACGGAGAUAAGAAGUUGUAUAGGAUGACUAAGGCCAGGAAGCGGAGGGCUCGUGACCUUGACCAAGUGAAGUGCAUCAAAGGAGAGGAUGGUAUAGUGUUGGUUGAGGAUGCCCUCAUUAGGGAGAGGUGGCAGUCCUAUUUUCAUAAAUUUUUGAACGACGAGGGGACAAAGGUUUUGUGUUAGGAGACUUGGAUAUAUCUGAGGAGGGUCGCGAUUAUAGUUAUUGUAGGCGUAUCGAGGUUGAGGAGGUCAAGGGGGCCAUUCGCAGGAUGCGACAGGGUAGGGCGACGGGGCCAGACGAGAUUCCAGUAGAUUUUUGGAAGAACACUAGCAAGGCAGGUCUGGCGUGGUUGACAAAGUUGUUUAACAUUAUUUUUAGAGCUGCUAAGAUGCCUGAAGCGUGGAGGUGGAGCAUGAUGAUUCCAGUGUAUAAAAACAAGGGAGACAUUCGGAGUUAUAACAACUAUAGAGGUAUUAAGUUGUUGAGUCAUACUAUGAAGGUUUGGGAAAGGGUGGUAGAGCUGAGGAUGAGGAGGAUUGUGAUGAUCUUUGAAAAUCAGUUCAGUUUCAUGCCUGGUCGCUCGACCACUGAGGCCAUUCACCUUGUGAGGAGAUUAGUGAAGCAGUUUCGAGAGAGGAGGAAGGACUUGCACAUGGUGUUUAUUGAUCUAAAGAAGUUUUAUGACAGAGUUUUCAGGGAGAUUCUGUGGAGGUGCUUGGAGGCUAGAGGGGUGCUCGUGGCGUAUACUAGAUCGAUUUAGGAUAUGUAUGAUGGUGCGAAAACUCGUGUGAGGACGGUAGGGGGAGAUUCGGAGCACUUCACAGUUUUGAUAGGGUUGCACCAGGGAUCGACUCUUAGCCCAUUUCUAUUUGCUUUGGUGAUGGAUGUUUUGACGCGACAUAUUCAAGGGGAGGUGUCUUGGUGUAUGUUAUUUGCAGAUGAUGUGGUUUUGAUCGAUGAGACUUGGGGUGGAGUUAAUGAUAAGUUAGAAAUUUGGAGACAGACGCUUGACUCUAAAGGUUUUCGGUUAAGCAGAACCAAGAUGGAGUGCUUGAAGUGUCAGUUCAGUGAUAUGUCGUAAGAAGAUGGAGUGGUUGUGAAGCUAGACUCUCAGACCAUCCAGUAGAGGGGGAGUUUUAAGUGUUUGGGGUUUAUAAUUCAGGGUAAUGGUGAGAUUGACGAGGAUGUCACGCAUCAUAUUGGGGCAGGAUGGUUGAAGUGGAGGCUCGCUUCGGGAGUCCUUUGUGAUAAGAAGGUGCCUCCGAAGCUUAAAGGUAAGUUCUACAGAGUGGUAGUCCGGAUGGCUAAGUUGUAUGGAGCGGAGUGUUGGCCAGUUAAGAACUCCUACAUCCUAAAGGCGAAGGUGGUGGAGAUGCGAAUGUUGCGAUGGAUGUGGACAUAUCAGGAAAGAUAGGGUGAGGAAUGAGAUUAUUGGAGAGAAGGUGGGAGUUGCCUUGGUGGAGGAUUAGUUGCGAGAAGUGAGUCUACGUUGGUUCGGGCAUGGGAUGAGGAGGGGCCCUGAUGCUCCAGUGCGGAGGUGUGAGACUCUGGUUAGGGAUGGUUUUAGGCGGGUUAGAGGUAGACCGAAGAAAUAUUAGAGGGACGUGAUUAGGCAUGAUAUGGAGCAAUUACAACUUACAGAGGACAUGACAUGAUCCUUGAUAGGAAGGCGUGGAGGAUGCGGAUUAGGGUAGAGGGUUGGGGGUGGGAGCGCGAAGGUAGUGAUAGGGGAGUGCUCCUUUGGGUCUGGAGUUUCUGGUUCGUAGUGUUGUGGCUGUAGUUUGGGGCUAGUGGUGUUGGCUGCAUCAUGUCCUAGUUUAUUAUACACUUAUUUUUGUGUUUGUUAUACUGUUAGUUUGUUUUGUGUACCAUACUAGUUUAUAUGCGCUUACUUUUUAUAUUUGUUAUACUGUUAUUGGUCAUAAACCGGGGGUCUAUCGGAAACAGCCUCUCUAUUUCUCUUGAGGUAGUGGUAUGAUAUGUGUACACUCUAUCCUCCUCAGACCCCACUAGGUGGGAAUACACUGGGUAUGUUGUUGUAGAUUUGAGUGAAGUUAGCAUUAAAGAUUCAAAAUAUAUUUUGCCAUAGUUUUUAAAAAUUAUUUCACUUUUUAUCCUUUGAAAAACAUGAAACAUGACUUGUAUUCACAAGUUAUUAAACUAUCAAAAAUACCCACAAUUAUUAUUUUUAUGAUGAACUAGAUAAUACAUCAUCCUAAAUCAUAACAUGAUAAUUUAAUAAAAACUAUUAAUAACACAAUUACUAAGAUCCGUCGGUGAAAAAAUAAUAAUAAUAAUAAUAAUAAUAACUAGCUAUUUACAUUCUACCAACAAUCUCUUCAUGACAAGCAUGCAUUUUUAGAUCAAAUAACCGAAAACGAUAGUAAGGAAUUAGUUCAUGUCAUAAAUAGAUGAGCUUCUUUAUAAAGUAUCAAAGCGUGGGGUAAGUUUAAAAUUUAAGAAGAAAUUAAUGACUUUAUUUUGGCCCAAAACUAAAUUUUUGGUAGAUUUUGAGAUUUGGUUUACGAAAUUUCUCAAAAAUUAAACAAAUUAUGAUCAAUCGAAUUUUGUUACGGUUAAAGAUUUACAUUUUUUUAUGGUCAAAACGGAUUCAUAAGAGUACCAUGGGUGCCCUUUUUUCCCUUAUGUGUUUUCUGUGUCAUUAUAUUCCCCUACCCCAUACAAUAAUAAAAUUAUGUUGACAAGAUUUUACAGCAACAAUUGACAAUAAUGGCAUAGCUCACUAAUUGAUGCUACUAGAAGAUUUGUCAUACUUAAUUUGCAAGUUGACAUAAACCUACAAAAAGUAAUUCAAUAAUGUCACUUUCGGCUCUCUAAAUACCAUUUGAUAUUGACGUGCAAACUAAAAUGUCUUGACAUUUUUUAAAAAUAAAAAUAAAAGUAACAUGCAAUCCCUUUGGUUUUGUUUUCUUGUAGUCUGUCCUUUAAUAAAUUAUGGAAAAAAAAUUUGUUUUGCAAUCUUGAAGCUUUUUAACCAAUUUGAUAUGCUGCUUGCAACAUUGUCUUGGUUUUAAUAGAUAGAAUAUAAAGUAACCUAAAAUUAAGUAACAAGACACCAAUUCUUAAAUUCAUAUUUUUGGGAGGUGCUUCGGAUUGUUUUUUCUUGAGUCGAGGGUUUAACGAAAACAGUUCUCUCAAUCUCUGAACAGUGACAGACUCAAGAUUUUCACUAAGAGGACUCGAAAAAUAAAAUAUAGUGCCUUGGAUUUGAACUUGUCACGUUGGGGGUGAAUUUUGAAUUCCCUAAACCACUGAGCAACCUACAGUUUGGUGUUCAGGGAUUUCAAAAUCUAUAUAUCUACACUAAAAUUAAAAAUAAAUAUAUAUAUACAAUGUAUUAUGCCGAGGAGGUUCGAUGAACACCCUCGCUGCCUCCUAAAUAAUCCUCCGCUGCCUCUUAAGGUAGAUGAGGUCCUAUGUACACACUACUUUUCCCGGACCCAACUUUGCCGAACUGAACUGGGUAUGUUAUUGUUUCUUUUGUUUGUGCAUUUUUUGGGAGGCUGGAGUAGGGAGAGAAAAAGAGAAGGCGCUAAGUAGAGUCUAAUGUUGCAACUCUAAUAUGUAACAUAGCAAUUUUACUACUUACUAAAUUAUGUGCCUCAACCAUAAAAAAAUAGCUAAACAUUAGCAUACUUCAAUUCAAUUCAUUAAAUUUAUAGUAUGCUUGAAUAUUUGUGUACUAAUCAAUUGAUGAAAUGAAUCAGGGAGUUGUUGGGCAUUCUCUGCCGUUGCUGCCAUUGAAUCGAUAAACCAGAUAACAACUGGGGAGUUGAUAUCACUGUCGGAGCAAGAGCUGAUAGAUUGUGAUAGGUCUUACAAUGAAGGUUGCAAUGGCGGUCUUAUGGAUUACGCCUUUCAAUUCGUGAUCAAGAA
rnacentral:lncRNA from 1 species